CAAGCGGUAUCCGGAUUCACUGGGUUUAAAGGGUGCGUAGGCGGGCAUGUAAGUCCGUGGUGAAAUCUCCGAGCUUAACUCGGAAACUGCCAUGGAUACUAUGUGUCUUGAAUGUUGUGGAGGUGAGCGGAAUAUGUCAUGUAGCGGUGAAAUGCUUAGAUAUGACAUAGAACACCAAUUGCGAAGGCAGCUCACUGCACAAAUAUUGACGCUGAGGCACGAAAGCGUGGGGAUCAAACAGG
rnacentral:rRNA from 1 species